rnacentral:lncRNA from 1 species
UUUUACUAAUUAAAAAAACAAACAAACCAGGUACCCAAAUUCUCUAACAAUUGAAUUAAAAAUAAUCUGACAAAAGGUGCAACAAUUUCCAAAAAGGAUUUGAGAGAGCACUUAAAAAUUAAAUCUGCAGUGGGUCAUAAAAAAGAUCUCAAUGCUUAGCAAAUUUUAAAAGGACUCAUGUCUUUCUGAUAUAUACAUAUAUAUAUUCAUGUAUAUGAGUUUCAUAUUCAAGGAGGUAAGAAAAUGUGACAAACUUCAAAAUGUUAAAAGCACACACUUAAUGCACCACCCAUUAUUAUUUCAUAAAUUGACAGCCUUUGCCAGUUUCUUGUACUAUUUAAUGUGUACUAAUAAUAGUUGGUAUUUACUUAGCAUUUUCCACUAAACUCCAACAUAUUUUCAGAUGCUGUUUAAUUUAUCCUUACUGGUUAUAUAUUUUUAAAAACUUACAGGGACAUUGUAAGAAGUUGUAUGGAAAGAAUUCUUUGAUUUUUAUAUUAUUAUAAAGUCAUGCAUUGAUUCAACAUGUAUGUAUUGAGUGCCUACUAUGUGUCAAGCCCUCUGUUAAUAGGGAUAGAACAAAAAUGGAAACCAACCACAAUCCUUGUUCACUGAAGCACUAAUUUUUUUAAAGAGUAGCUCAGUUUGUUGUGCUAUUCAUGGAUCUCACCUCUACAGACCACUCAUGCUAACCCUGUAGAAGACAGUUGGCCCACCUGUAAUAACUAAAGCUGACAGUG